CCCUGUAGAGACUAGAGAGCAAGGGUAGCUGAUUAGAAGGGGUUAGGCUAAGUUCGCCGCCGCCAGCCGUGGUGGUGGUGGUUGGAGGCGGUGUCGGCCGACGGUGUGACCGCGCUUCGUGGGGUCGCGCCGCACCUGUCAGCGUACCCGCGGUUCGGAGGGUCCGGACGCCGAGUGGUAUGUAGCCACGGCAGCGUCUCCCCGGCGCAGUCCGUCGACUGCAGCGACCGCGGCGGAGGCGAGCCCUCCCGCGGCGGCGACAGCGCGCGGCGGAAACCUCCGGCCAGUCCCGACGCGGUCCGCUACGGCUCCUCCCGCACGACCGGGCUCGCGGAUGCGCGCGUCCCACUCUCAACACACGAGGUCUCCAUCCGGCGUAGCUCCGACGACGGAGGUACCCGCCCGUUCCCUUGGCGAGGUACGUGCCCGAACAGUCUCCCGCAACGGCGACCAGCUGGUGGACACGGCCCGUUGCGCGGGGCGGCACGCACCGGUACCAACAACCGACGGCCCUCGGUCGCCCAUCCUGCGUACCGAGCCAUCGCGCCCGCGCGCCCGCGGCGCGCACACUCCCCCCGAGCGGCCAACGUAGCUGCUCGGCUCCAGCUCCUGGAGGUCCGCGAGGCAGCAGCGAAGGGAGAGCCGGUUUAGCGAGACCCGAUUCUCGCACGACUAUUGCACAACUUUCUUUUGCUCUCUGUUAGCUAUCAUAACUUUUGACAGAUAACUACUAUUGUUCAAUGUAUAAAUAUCAGAGACUUCUCUGCGUAGGCCUCCCUGUGGUGCGAAUGUUUUCAGUGCAGAUAAAUAUACUGCCAGCCCUAUUCACUUCUAAAUGAGAUUAAUUCAGAAUUAUUAACCAAAAACAAAACACAGCGUCUAAGAAAAGUACGGUCAGUGCAUCCUCUCGUCGAUAGCAUUUUUACUGAAGCUCAACCUAAUCCUCGGCCCUUUCUUUCCGCAUUAAUUUUCACGGAUUUCAGAUUUUUCACGUGCGCGUGAUAAAUCUGCUCAGCUCGCCGGCCGACGACCGGUGUGCUAGAGCGAGGAUAGUAGGACGCACACCCAGUCCACGAUGAAACAGCCCUACCAAAAGGGCUCGGAAUAGGAGAGGCAGCGUCCGCGACGGGGACGAGAGGGCAAGAAGGGGUAGCGCCCGCGACGGGGACCGGGGACGAGGAGGGUAAGAAGGGUACCGCGGCGGGAUCAGGGGGGAGAGGAAGGGUACUGUCCGUGGUUCUAGCUGCCAGCUCGGAGACGGCGGAAAGACGGGGCAAGUAGGUCGAAGUCCACGAGCUGCCUCCGGCCGCUCUUAGAAACUGCUCCAUCUACCUAACGACCCCAACCUACCUAACCUGCCUUCUCUAGACUCUUGAAAGCGGGCCUAAACCAUUCCAAAGUCAUCCUACUACCUGCGGCCGCUCUAAAAGGUAAAGCGGAAGGGCAGGAUACUGGUCUACUUAACGCCGUAGUUCUACAGUCGGUUCUGUUGCCGCAGUAACAAUAUCAAACACACCAAGAGCUGGUUUGCGCAACCUAACCGCUCCUAUAACACGUCCCCCUACUCCCAUUACUUCCUCUAUUAUGUCUUGCUAUCAGUGUUCGACCAUCCUAUUCCCGUAGUGGACCCUGAUCCUCCAACCACUGCAACUUGUUAUUCAACUCGGGUAAUGUUUUCAGAGUGGAGACGGUCUUCGACAAACCUUCACCUUGUUAUUCAACACGUAACCUCGCUUAAGUCUAAAGCCUUGAAGAAACCUCUACUACCACUAGUUAUGGCAGAACAUUUCGCGGCUUGUGCCUUUCGCUUUCGGUGUUGUGGGCUACAUCCGCCAAGGAGUAGAUGUCGUCGACAACUCCUUUAGCCGUUGGGCUCGUGGAUGACACCGUUGAGGUUGUGGAUUACUCGGUCGACGUCCAGUUGUGUACGUAUUACGUAGUAGACUACCUGGUUGUGGUCGUUGAUCACUCCCUUUGUGUGAAAGUAGACACGGUCGAGCUCAUUAGUGACACGGUUCAUGUUAUAGUUCACUCCGUUGACAUUGAGGUCUACACGGUGGGGGUCAUCGGUUACACGGUGGACUUCCAGUUUGAUACGGUUGACGUCCCGUAUACAACCUACAACCACACUUGUUAGAAAACACGGAUAACACAUAGAUAAAAGUAGGCUACAACCACACUUGUUAGAAAAUACGUGCAACACACGGAUGUCCACCGACAACGUUGAACAGAUCAACAUGCUUUCGUCAUAUAUCAACGUGGUUGAACAAAUGAGAAAAACCGUGUGUCACAACGAUGUUAACCGACGACAUUGAACUAACCAACGUGCUUUCGUCGUAUAAACCGACGUGUCUAAAACACGGUUGG
rnacentral:rRNA from 1 species